rnacentral:lncRNA from 1 species
UAUUUUUAAUAAAGAAUUUACCCAUUUGAUUAAAUAACCAAACUAUUAUAUACAUUGUUAUUAUUAUUAUUAUUUUUUGCUAUUAAAUUCUUACCUGAUCCCUAAAAAUACUUGUUAUACUGAAGAAUGAGAAUCUUGUUCCUCCCAUUUCAAUUGUCCCACUAAUUUCACAUUUAUAUAGUGGGAAACAUGUUGAAGAAAAGUAUUAAAAUAUUUUAAAGCCACAUGGGAUUAUUAAAACCUGGAAUGAGUCCUCUAAAUCAUUGAGGCAACUGUUCAUCAGAUGCUUUUCCUUAAAAAGAAGAAGAAAAAGAAGAAGAAAAAAACCCACCAACUUUGUACUUACUGGAGACCUAUAAUUCACAGCUGUUAUUUUAAGCAAUGUUCCUGGAGAACGGUCAGAGGAAUAUACUGGAACAUUGGAAGAAGAAGAAAUUAGCCAAAUUCAUCAUUUGCAUUUAAUUUUGCAUUUUCAUUCAAUUAAUUCCCCUUACUUGUCUAGCAAGACUGAACUCCUUUUAAAAGUCAUAAUUUCUUUCAGCUCAGCGUAAAUUAUGAUGCCUGAGAAUCUUGGACUAUGAAUAAUGUGGCCUAUUUUGGGGGGCUACUGUCUGUUAGUUUUGGAUGGGAAAUACAAAAGCAUUUUACACACUCAAAGCAAAGAUAGUGAGUGUUGAAAGUAAUCAAUGACUUCCUUUCAUUUCCUCUAAAUGACAAGCUUAACAAUUGCCAUGGAACUCACCAGUGCAUUCUGGAAAUCUCAUUCUGUCAUCAUAAAACUCUGACUAUAGCAACAUCUGUCUAGAGCUGGACAGAGCCCCAGUGACCCUGUGCUAACAUUGUAUCCCUGGUGGUCAGAAAGCAAGCAAGAAAGUUUUUAUCUGAAGAAUGGAGACUGCACUCCUAAUGUUAUUAUGUGGAUUCAAGGAUGGAAUAAAAGUUAAAGCAACUAGCAUAAAAGUUCUGUUGAGGUGCUUGGGGGGAGUCGAGGCAGCAGCAGCCUGUCUUGGAAACACAAUGGAUGACAAGAUCCACAUAAGAGAAAAAAAACAAAAAACAAAACAAAACAAAACAAAACCCCCAACAACCUAAAAAGUGCUGAGUUCUUGCUAAUAUUAUCCUAAUACUGAAUGAUUUCUAUCUGCAUUUCUCUCAAUUAGAAUAAAAAUCCUUAUGUUGCUUAUGCA